rnacentral:snRNA from 1 species
GGAGCUUAGAGUGAUUUGCCUGGGGGGCAUAUUACCCCUUUGGUUGCCAGAGUUUAUUUGGCUGAUCCAGCUGGGGAGGGGUGUUCCCCCGCUUCCCCACCACUCCAUUUUCAUUGUUCCUGGAGCUGCCAGCUCAACAGAGGAGGAUGGCUUUCCCUGAUGGAGAAGGGUUGGUCUUCUGCCCAUGGCCAAUCACUCUGAGUACACCCUCAAUGAAACCUGAAAACAAGUUCUCAGAUGAUAGUUACCCUACUAAGGGAAAACUAAUGUUAGUUUUUGAUGAUCCCCCCAAAAUAACCAAAUGAAAAUAAAAACUAAAUGCAGACAUCUUCAUUUU